ACACUGGCGGUGAGGAUUUCAACAUAUGCAUUGGGAGGGGAGGGAUGCACACAUUUAGUCCAUUGGCCCUUCUCACAAAAACUACAAUUUGCUUGAAUUAAUGCCAUACUCAAGGCCUAUGUCGCAAGGGAUCUGAGAAUACAGAGGAGGCAAGUCAACAAAAGAAGAGUCAGGGGAAGUAUCACAGAUGAAGAGGCAUCUGAGCUCAGUGUUAUGGAAUGAAGGAAAUCAACACUCAGAGAAAAGGGGAAAGCAUGAAUGCAGUCCCCCACUACCACAAAUCAUGCAGUCGAGUUUCGCACUUUUGGGGAAAUCACAGGGGUCAGCACACCCAGAGUGCAAUGGAUAAACCUCGCCCUGGGAAAACCACCUUCGUGAUCAUGUUAUCUCCCCUGCCAGCUUAUUCAGAUGAUGUGAAUACCGGCUAAUUAUUGCAACGAUGUUUGCUUCCAAGCAUUAAAAAAAUUGCCAGUGUUAUGGGCAAGGACUUCAUGACUACAACACCAAAAGCAAUGGCAAGAAAAGCCAAAAUAGACAAAUGGGAUCUAAGUAAACUAAAGAGCUUCUGCACAGCAAAAGAAACUACCAUCAGAGUGAACAGGCAACCUACAGAAUGGGAGAAAAUUUUUGCAAUCUACCCAUCUGACAAAGGGCUAAUAUCCAGAACCUACAAAGAACUUAAACAAAUUUACAAGAAAAAAUCAAACAACCCCAUCAAAAAGUGGGCGAAGGACAUGAACAGACACUUCUCAAAAGAAGACAUUUAUGCAGCCAACAGACAUAUGAAAAAAUGCUCAUCAUCACUGGCCAUCAGAGAAAUGCAAAUCAAAACCACAGUGAGGUACCAUCUCACACCAGUUAGAAUGGAGAUCGUUAAAAAGUCAGGAAACAACAGGUGCUGGAAAGGAUGUGGAGAAAUAGGAACGCUUUUACACUGUUGGUGGGACUGUAAACUAGUUCAACCAUUGUGGAAGACAGUGUGGCGAUUCCUCAAGGAUCUAGAACUAGAAAUACCAUUUGACCCAGCCAUCCCAUUACCGGGUAUAUACCCAAAGGCUUAUAAAUCAUGCUGCUAUAAAGACACAUGCUCACAUAUGUUUAUUGCGGCACUAUUCACAAUAGCAAAGACUUGGAACCAACCCAAAUGUCCAUCAAUGAUAGACUGGAUUAAGAAAAUGUGGCACACAUACACUAUGGAAUACUAUGCAGUCAUAAAAAAGGAUGAGUUCAUGUCCUUUGUAGGGACAUGGAUGAAGCUGGAAACCAUCAUUUUGAGCAAACUAUCACAAGGACAGAAAACCAAGUAUCACAUAUUCUCACUCGCAGGUGGGAAUUGAACAAUGAGAACACUUGGACACAGGGUGGGGAACAUCACACACCGGGGCCUGUUGCGGGGUGGGGGGAGGGGGGAGGGAUAACAUUAGGAAAAAUACCUAAUGUAAAUGACGAGUUAAUGGGUGCAGCACACAAACAUGGCACAUGUAUACAUAUGUGACAAACCUGCACAUUGUGCACAUGUACCCUAGAACUUAAAGUAUAAUAAAAAAAAAUUGCCAGUGUUUUUUCCCUACUCCCUUGUGCCCUCCCCCAUUAUAAAAAUCAAAUAAAAUAAAACCACAGCCCUUUGCAAUUCACGCCACAUACACUAAUAACAGCCUCAGGCAAGCAGUAUCUGUGGGACUCAUUUAAAUUUUAUUUUCGUGGAAGAAUAAAGGAAAAUUCAACACCAAAUCUUUAAGACACACCACUUAAUGAUUUUGGUGAACAGUCUGAAAUAGACAGUUAUUGGAGCCUUUGAUUAAGACAAUACAAUGUCUACAAUGACCUAUCAAGCAGGUGUCCAUACCCUGUAAGAACCUUGUCCACACUUCAGCCUCUGAUGAAGCAUGUAUGGGUACACCUUGUGUGUGACAGCCCCAAUAGCUGGAAUGGUGUGGGAUCCCAAUGAAGGACACCCAGCCUUGGCAUGGCAAUCUACCUAUGACUUUGUGGCUUGGCUGAAAGAUUUCAGCUGGGUCAAGCAGAAGAUCUCUUUCAAGACUCUAAACCAAGAAAUACAGGAGGGUCUUGCCAACUAACUAUGGGAACUAAACCAAGAGAGCAGUGAAUUCUCGGGGAGCACCAUGAGAAGCCAUGAUGGGCUACUGCCAAACUGAAGUGAUGUGGGGAACAGAAGGUGUAAUGGAGUGGGGAAAAGCCAGUCCAUCACAAGUGGGGAAUAGUGCAGAGAUGCAGAAAGAAACAGCCUAUCACCAGCAGGAAGGACUGGACAAAGAAACUGACCCUUAGCCUAAAGAAGCCAGGGUACCAACUGUAUAGUCCAGCCCAGCCCAGCUUGGGGAACAGUCACUAUAGGUCCUCUCCUUCUGCUGCCACCCACACCUCAUAAAUGAGUUAAACUAUAGCACAUAAUCAUCCUUAAAUGGUGGCAAUAAACACUUCUGCAUUUCAUUGUCAAUGGAUGCAUAAUAGAUGCAAAAUACUUCCAAGGUUAACUAAAUGAAUUAUUGUAGAUGUCUAAAGUGAGGGUGAACUCUGUUUUUUCUUUUAAAAUGAUCCAUCUGUUUAUCAAGGCAAUAAGUUUUUAAGUUAAUUAAGUACGGAGCAGAAAGUCCUCCAAGCAGACACUUUUAAUUAAUUCUUAAUUAUGAAUGCCCACGUAUGUCCUCCAAGUGGCCAAAAAUAUUCAGUGUGGGGCGACAAAGGAAAAAACGCACUGAAAAGAGAACAGACACCACUCCUGGUUUUGAUACUUUUUAGGUUAAAUUUACCAAAUGUUAUAAACAGCUUUAAAAAUACUUACCUUUAGGGUGGUUUUCAAAACAGUGCAAACAUACACAAAUCACAACACACUUCUUAAUUUGUUCCUCUUUGUUGUCACGUGUUGCUAAGAGACUGUCUUUUUCAGGGCUCAAAUACACAGAUUUUUUCCAAAUUUAGAAAAUAGGCAUACUUGCAAAGAAGCCUCAAAAAGGCAGCCAGUUAGAGGUAGAAAUUUAUUUGGUAAUUACCAACCCACAUUUCUCCAAACAACUUCCUGAAACAUAUUACUGAAUGCCUGUAUGACUCAUGGAAACUUCAAAAUUGAUCAUCUCUGGCUCUGUGGCAAUCUGCUUUCUUAAUUUACAUACAUUAAAGUUUGUGUACCCUCUACUCCUUACUGAAGGAAAACAGGAAAGUCAACCUUCCACUGAAAGAGAAGCAGCCGUCCACUGGGUUCAGACACUGGGAAGGCCACUGAAAGGCUCGUGUACAUCAAGAUUUCUCAUGAGUGGUUAGGGGAUGUUGAUCACUCUUAGGGAUAAACUGUAAUCAAAGAUCAGUAUGUGAAGCCGGGAACAAUAGCAUAUAUUAACAGUAAUACGUGUUAUUACAGUCAUAUUCUAGUUCCUUAAUUUAUACAGUAUGUUAUUAAACAGAUAUAUCAUAGCAUAAUGGUAUCACAAAAGACUACUUUUUCCCUUAAAACUCCUAGGUGCACUUUUGUAUGUAUUUUUUUAUUAGCUAUCUGACAGCCUGGGGAAAGACACAAAAAGGCGAUAGGUGCCCAUGACAACUGGUGAUCAAAAAGCCCAACAAAAGCUGGGCGUGGUGGCUCACACCUGUAAUACCAGACACUUGGGAGGCCAAGGUGGGAGGACCACUUGAGGCCAGGAGUUUGAGAUCAGCCUAGGCAACACAGAGAGACCCCCAUCCCUAAAAACACUAAAAAAAAUUAAAAAUUUAAACUCAAUAUAACUGAAACUAGAUGGUAAAUCAAUGAGGAAAUGGCUAAGUUUACAAAAGUCUGACUGACAAACCUCAGAGACGCACCCCUCUCUUUAAAAAGGAUGCACUUUGACAUUUUAAAAUAUCUAUGUGCAUAGUUAUUAAAGAGCUUUUAUAUGGGCCCCUUAACUAACAGCAGAGAACCGCAGGGACAGGCCAGCUUUGCUGAGACAGAUACACAGGCUUUAUUUGUUUGCAAAGAAACACAACUGAACUCAACUGUAAAGACAACAAAGCUCAAACAGCCUCAGUCCUCACUAGGGUUUCAUGCCAGCCCAACCCCAUACGUUUGUAAAGCAUUACAGUAACUUUGGAGAGUAGGACUAAAGUAGUCUAGGCUUGCAACAGGCAAUGUUUAUGUUCACUCCAAAUUGAUAUGUUGAAAUCCUAACCUCCAAUGCAAUGGUAUUACGAAGGUGAGGUGAGGGUGGUGCCCUCACAAAUGGGGUUACUGCCCUCAUAAAAGAGACCCUAGAGAGCUCCUUCACCCUCUUUCAGCCAUGUAGGACACAAUAGGAAGUCUGCAGUUUACAACCUGGGAGAAGGCCCAUGCCAGCACCCUGAUCACAGACUGUCAGCCUCCAAUACUGUGAGAAAUUUCUGUUGUUUAUAAGCACCCAGUCUGUGAUAUUUUGUUAUACCAGCUCAAAUGGACUAACACCGAGCUGUAGUCUCAGUUCUGCCACUCAGGCAAGCCAUUUAGUUUCUCUGAAUACUGACUUCCUCGUUUGGAUAAGAAGGAAAGGACUCAUUGUUCAAUUCCCACCUAUGAGUGAGAACAUGCGGUGUUUGGUUUUCUGUCCUUGUGAUAGUUUGCUGAGAAUGAUCGUUUCCAGCUUCAUCCAUGUCCCUACAAAGGACAUGAACCCUUGGACACAGGAAGGGGGACCUCACACACAGGGGCCUGUUGUGGGGUGGGGUAGGGGGGAGGGAUAGUAUUAGGAGAUAUACCUAAUGUAAAUGAUGAGUUAAUGGGUGCAGCACACCGACAUGGCACAUGUAUACAUAUGUAACAAACCUGCACAUUGUGCACAUGUACCCUAGAACUUAAAAUGUAAUAAUAAUAAUAAUAAUAAUAAAGAAAGAAGGGAAGAAGAAAUGGGAAUUUGCUUACCAGUAGUUAAAAAAAAAAAAAAGGAAAGGACUACGUGGAAACGAAUGCGGGUGGAGGAGGUACUAAUAUCUUCUGAGCAUCUCCUACAGGCCAACAUUGUCCUUAUACCAUCUAACCUAAUCCACAUACUAAUUCCUGAUUUUACAAAAAGGGAAGCCAGGCCAGGGGAGGAAACUGCUCAGUGUCACAGGGGACAUAGUACAGAUAGGACUUAAGCCCCGGUGUCUGGUUUCAAGGCUAUACCCAAUUGCUAUGCUGACCUUACACAUUCUGUUUCCAGAGUUCAAGGACUAAUUUGAGCAUGCCUUUCUCAAUGCCCCUACAUAUUUCUAUUUCCAUGUGCUAUGAUAUAAUUUCCGAGUCACAUCUGAGAUCUCACCCUCUCUAAACUCUCUGGUCUUUCCCCCUUACUGCCACCACCACUUAAACCCAGACA